UCCAAGUAGCUGGGAUUACAGACGCGCACCAUCAGCCAAGCUGCUGCAUCUGGCCCCUCAAGCGUCAAGUCAAGAGGAAAAGGAGAUUAAGAGGAAGGGCGGUCUGUGAAUUGAACUGCUUCUCAAAUCACUAGUCACAUCCUGGUAGAAGUCCAGCAAUGAAGAUGGCACAGAAACACAUUCCAAAUACUGUGAUACCAUAAAGUAUACUGUAGCAAUGCAUCUGGCACACCCUCAUUUUAACAUCUGUCUCAGAAGAUUUUGACAGAAGAUAAAACUGUCUAGUUUUUAUUUCAUUGGUUUCAUGAAAAUUUAUUUCACUGGUUUCAUGUCACAGGCCCAUGACUGUAUAAAGAGUCAUAAUCUUUACAAACACAACAGUGACUCACAGAGACAUGUUGCAAAGCUGUAAUCCAAAACACUGAUGUUAAUUUCAGAGGCCAUUAAUGGUGUUAAGAAGGAGCUUUUGUUAACCAAAUAAUUGAAUACUCAUAAUUACUUUUCAGUUCUAGUUCAGUUCUUCACACCAAACCAUUUUCUUUACAUAGUGAAUGCAGAACUUGCCAAUAAGAACUUUCAAUACUAAACUUCUAUGUAAAACAAAACAUCUCAAAAUCAAUAACUACUUUAAUGGAAUAGUAAAGAAUUUACUUAAACACAAAGGAAUGAAAAUAUCUCUGCAAAUAUGUCUACUGACUUUUCAAUUUUGGUGACUUCUUUCGAAUUAAUUCCUUUACCUCUGUUCCUCAUCCACAUAAAAAUGACAAAAAUGAAAGAUAAUUUUCUAGCCUAUAAUUAAAUUUCUCUGUUGUUGGCAUAUAAUAUGUUUUUAAUACAUUUUUCAGUUGUCAUAAUUCAUAUGAGAAUUAUUAAAAGAGAUUUAGUUGCCUUUGAGGACUGUAUUUGGAACCUACUUCUUAAAAAUUGUGUAAAAAUAAUUGUGGCUUUUGAGAGACAAUUGGAAAUUUGAACCUGAUCACAUAUUUUGUGAUAUUAAGGAAUUUUAUUAAUUAAUU